GCCAAUGAAACAGUUCCUAACCCAACACCUACACCAGUUGUACAAGAGGAAACCCAUUAUCCUCAAGAGGUUAAUCAAAUGCCUCAAGUAGUAAAUCAAAAUCCUCCUGUUGUUAACCCAAAUCCACAAGUGGUUCAUCAGAACCCCCAGUAGUAAUGGUUAGGAGAAACCAGGAUCCUGAUGAGGUAGUGCGAGAGGUUCAGAACAAUAACUUACUUGGCCAACACAAUUUGGCUAACAUGGUCGAAACGAUUUUGGCCCAAAAUGGCCUAAACACGGGUUGUCGAAGGCCAAAUUUCGUCUCUGCCUUCAAUGAAUAUGUGCUGCAAACAGAGUUACCAAGAGGUUGGAAAGUCCCAAAGUACACUAAGUUUGUUGGGGACACUAAUGAGUCAACCGUAGAACAUAUUGCUAGGUAUUUAGCUGAAUCUGGGAAUUUGGCAAAUAAUGAAAAUUUGCGAAUGAAGUAUUUUCCUAAUUCGCUCACCAAGAACGCGUUUACNN
rnacentral:lncRNA from 1 species